CGCAUCUGUGCAUGCAGCAUAUCAAUAAGCGGAGGAAAAGAAACUAACAAGGAUUCCCCUAGUAACGGCGAGUGAAGCGGGAAGAGCUCAAAUUUGAAAUCUUAAAGGGUUUCCCUUUACGAAUUGUAGUUUAAAGAAGUGUUUUCUGUUGAGGUUUUGGUAAAAGUUCUUUGGAAUAGGACAUCAUAGAGGGUGAGAAUCCCGUAUUUGACCUUUACUUUCAACUUUGUGAUACACUUUCAAAGAGUCGGAUUGUUUGGGAAUGCAGUCCAAAAUGGGUGGUAAAUUUCAUCUAAAGCUAAAUAUUGGCGAGAGACCGAUAGCGAACAAGUACCGUGAGGGAAAGAUGAAAAGAACUUUGAAAAGAGAGUUAAACAGUACGUGAAAUUGUCAAAAGGGAAGCGUUUGACACCAGUGUUGUUUUUCUGAAAAUCAAUUAAAGAACUGUUUAUGCUAAGUUGUUUAGACUUUAUCAGCUAACUGUUUAGUUUUGAGCUUUUCUUUAAUGCACUUUUCAGUUAACAAGUCAACAUCAAUUUCUUUUGCUGUAAAAAAGCUUGAGGAAGGUGGCUUGAGAUUCGUCUUAAGUGUUUAUAGCCUCUUGCCUAUGCAGUCGGAGAGAUUGAGGUCUGCAGCGUAGAUCCUUCGGGGCUAAAUGCAUUUGUGCUAAGUUAUAACAUUUUAUAGACAACUUGUUGACUAUGAUUUGUCUUGUAGCUUACUCGCUUAUGUUAUUUUACCUACGCUUAGGAUGUUGAACGCGCACAGAGUCUC
rnacentral:rRNA from 1 species